rnacentral:rRNA from 1 species
AGGGGAAACGCCCGGUUACAUUCCGAACCCGGAAGCUAAGCCCUCCAGCGCCGAUGGUACUGCACUCGUGAGGGUGUGGGAGAGUAGGACGCCGCCGGAC